rnacentral:rRNA from 1 species
CGGUAAUUCCAGCUCCAAUAGCAUAUAUUAAAGUUGUUGCAGUUAAAAAGCUCGUAGUCGAAAAUUGCUCAGUUGAUUGCGCUUACGAUUUCGUCGUUUAUGUAGUUGGCUGAGCUUUGCGUNAGACUUUUGCACUGCAUUGGUGUUCCGCCACUUUGAAUAUAUCAAAGUGUUCAAGGCGAGUUUCUUUGAUUGCUCAAGCAUGGAAUACAGAAUUGGCGUUUGCCUUUUCUUAGGUUCUAAAGGCAUCUGCAAUGAUUGAGAGGAACGGUUGGGGGGAUACGCAUUUGACUGUUAGAGGUGAAAUUCUUGGAUCAGUCAAAGGCGAACUGAUGCGAAAGCGUUUUCCAAAAACGUUUUUAUUGAUCAAGAACGAAAGUUAAGGGAUCGAAGACGAUCAGAUACCGUCGUAGUCUUAACGGUAAACUAUGCCAUCCAAAGAUCGGGCAAAUGCAUAGAGCUUGCUCGGGAUUUCGUGAGAAAUCAGAGAAACUAGGUUCUGGGGGAAGUAUGUGCGCAAGCCGGAAACUUAAAGGAAUUGACGGAAGGGCACCACAAGGAGUGGAGUAUGCGGCUUAAUUUGACUCAACACGGGGAACCUUACCAGGGCCAGACAUAGGAAGGAUUGACAGGAUGCUAGUUCUUUCUUAAUUCUAUGGGUGGUGGUGCAUGGCCGUUUCUAGUUGGUGGAGUGAUUUGUCUGGUUGAUUCCGUUAACGAACGAGACCUUUUCUUCCAAAUUGCUGUGACCUAUAUCUAUAGGUUGCAGUAAAUCGGAGGACAACAUGUGGAAAGCAUGGGGAAGAGAAAGGCGAAAACAGGUCUGUGAUGCCCCUAGAUGUUCUGGGCCGCACGCGUAUUACAAUGGCGCUCUCACUUAGCAUAUUAUCCCUUGUAAAAGAGGGAGGUACCUAGAGAAGUAGUGCCAAAAUCGGGAUUGGCUAUUGGAAUUAUUGGCCUUGAACGAGGAAUUCCUUGUAAUUGCAAAUCAUCAGUUUGUGGUGAAUACGUCCCUGCCCUUUGUACACACCGCCCGUCGCUCCUACCGAUUGGGUGAUCCGGUUAAUUCCAUGGAGUGCUCUUGUUCCUUAACGGGUACAUCAGGUGCAAAAUGGUGUAAACCUUAUCAUUUAGAGGAAGGAGAAGUCGUAACAAGG